GAGCUUUCCGUGGCAUGGAGCAAGAAUUACCAAAAAGAGGUUUGUUAAUGGUGAGGCCAUCUGAAGAAAGAAUUCACACACAGAUUGUGCAGGAAACCAGGCCCACAAGAAUGAUGCAUUUCCUUGAGAAUGAUGCAUUUCCUUGAAAAGUUGGAGGAGAGUGGCAUAUUGAAUAAAGUUGAAGGUGGGGAUGCAGGCAGUUUCAUUGCUCCCAUCUAUUGUCCCUGGAGAUCUCCCUGGAGGAUUUCCUACAAGUGUGCCUGAAGAAAUGAGGAUCAAGAGGGACUGCAAGAAAAUGGAACAAGAAAUUCACACAUCCUUUAUCUUUUCUGCAAUCAACAUACUGGGUAUGUAAUUUUAUAGCAUUUUCCAACACUUAAGUACUCUUUAUAACACAGAAUUAAGAUCAAGAAAUUUAUGGUUGCUUAAAGGCAAGGUGUACAUUCCAAAAAGCAGAGUUUGUCUCCUGGAAUUAAGACUCCCAGCUCGGGACGAAGCAAAGGCAGCCGUUCCCUUUAGUUCUACCGCCGCCGAGACGCUUCGGGAAGCCUUCGGGAGCGCCGCUGCCGCUGUCUGUGUGCAGGGGCGCGCCCCCCCCCCCCCCCCCCCCCCC
rnacentral:lncRNA from 12 species